AGAAAAGUAAGCUAAAUAAAGCUAAUGGGUUCAUACCCCAUAUAUAGAGUUAUCUCUCUUUUCUA
rnacentral:tRNA from 1 species